AGAUGUGAGGGCGAUCUGGCUAUCACAUCUGUCACUCAUUGGUUGCCAGGGUUGAUUCAGUUGAUCUGGCUGGCUAGAUAGGUGUUCCCUUCCUCCCUCUCCACUCCAUGUGCAUCCCUCCAGAAGCUGUGCAUUCAGUCAAAGAGGAUGACCUUCAUUCAUAAGAGUAGCUACACUCCCCUGCUAGAACUUCCAAACAAGCUCUCGGGAAUACUACUGCUUACCAAAAUUCACCAAUUGCUGAAACUUUUUACACUUGCUUUAUAUCUGU
rfam:Ictidomys tridecemlineatus contig017383, whole genome shotgun sequence.